rnacentral:rRNA from 1 species
UCCGGUGGUUAUAGCAAAGGAGUCACACCCGAUCCCAUCCCGAACUCGGUAGUUAAGACCUUUAGCGCCAAUGGCACUGCUAGGGCAACUUAGUGGGAGAGUAGGACGCUGCCGGAU